rnacentral:rRNA from 2 species
AACGCUGGCUGUGUGCCUAAUACAUGCAUGUCGAGCGAGGUUCUUUUAGGACCUAGCGGCGAAUGGGUGAGUAACACGUACUUAAUCUGCCCUUUAGAUUGGAAUACCCAAUGGAAACAUUGGCUAAUGCCGGAUACGCAUAGAAUCGCAUGAUUCUGUUGUGAAAGGAGCUCCAAAGCUCCACUAAAGGAUGAGGGUGCGGAACAUUAGUUAGUUGGUGAGGUAAUGGCCCACCAAGACUAUGAUGUUUAGCCGGGUCGAGAGACUGAACGGCCACAUUGGGACUGAGAUACGGCCCAAACUCCUACGGGAGGCAGCAGUAGGGAAUAUUCCACAAUGAGCGAAAGCUUGAUGGAGCGACACAGCGUGCACGAUGAAGGUCUUCGGAUUGUAAAGUGCUGUUAUAAGGGAAGAACACUCAGUAGAGGAAAUGCUAUUGAGCUGACGGUACCUUGUCAGAAAGCGAUGGCUAACUAUGUGCCAGCAGCCGCGGUAAUACAUAGGUCGCAAGCGUUAUCCGGAAUUAUUGGGCGUAAAGCGUUCGUAGGCUGUUUGUUAAGUCUAGAGUCAAAUCCCAGGGCUCAACCCUGGCUCGCUUUGGAUACUGGCAAACUAGAGUUAGAUAGAGGUAAGCGGAAUUCCAUGUGAAGCGGUGAAAUGCGUAGAUAUAUGGAAGAACACCAAAGGCGAAGGCAGCUUACUGGGUYUAUACUGACGCUGAGGGACGAAAGCGUGGGGAGCAAACAGGAUUAGAUACCCUGGUAGUCCACGCUGUAAACGAUGAUCAUUAGUCGGUGGAGAAUCACUGACGCAGCUAACGCAUUAAAUGAUCCGCCUGAGUAGUAUGCUCGCAAGAGUGAAACUUAAAGGAAUUGACGGGGACCCGCACAAGCGGUGGAGCAUGUGGUUUAAUUUGAAGAUACACGGAAAACCUUACCCACUUUUGACAUCCUUCGCAAAGCUAUAGAGAUAUAGCGGAGGCUAACGGAGUGACAGAUGGUGCAUGGUUGUCGUCAGCUCGUGUCGUGAGAUGUUUGGUCAAGUCCUGCAACGAGCGCAACCCCUAUCUUUAGUUACUAACAAGUAAUGUUGAGGACUCUAGAGAUACUGCCUGGGUAACUGGGAGGAAGGUGGGGAUGACGUCAAAUCAUCAUGCCUCUUACAAGUGGGGCCACACACGUGCUACAAUGGUCGGUACAAAGAGAAGCAAUAUGGCGACAUGGAGCAAAUCUCAAAAAGCCGAUCUCAGUUCGGAUUGGAGUCUGCAAUUCGACUCCAUGAAGUCGGAAUCGCUAGUAAUCGCAGAUCAGCUAUGCUGCGGUGAAUACGUUCUCGGGUCUUGUACACACCGCCCGUCACACCAUGGGAGCUGGUAAUACCCAAAGUCGGUUUGCUAACCUCGGAGGCAACUGCCUAAGGUAGGACUGGUGACUGGGGUGAAGUCGUAACAAGGUAUCCCUACGAGAACGUGGGGAUGGAUCACCUCCUUUCUACGGAGUACACCUAGUUAUGGAAAACAUAUUCGUAUUCAGUUUUGAGAGAUCUAUCUCUCUUUUGUUCUUUGAAAACUGAAUAUCGACAUUGAAAAAUUAUAUUAAUUAAUAUUUCAAAGUUUAGAUCAACCUAUAGAAUAUAUAUAUC